rnacentral:rRNA from 1 species
GGGGGAUAUUGCGCAAUGGGGGCAACCCUGACGCAGCAACGCCGCGUGAAGGAUGAAGGUUUUCGGAUUGUAAACUUCUUUUAUUAAGGACGAAACUUGACGGUACUUAAUGAAUAAGCUCCGGCUAACUACGUGCCAGCAGCCGCGGUAAUACGUAGGGAGCAAGCGUUGUCCGGAUUUACUGGGUGUAAAGGGUGCGUAGGCGGCUUUGCAAGUCAGAUGUGAAAUCUAUGGGCUCAACCCAUAAACUGCAUUUGAAACUGUAGAGCUUGAGUGAAGUAGAGGCAGGCGGAAUUCCCCGUGUAGCGGUGAAAUGCGUAGAGAUCGGGAGGAACACCAGUGGCGAAGGCGGCCUGCUGGGCUUUAACUGACGCUGAGGCACGAAAGCGUGGGUAGCAAACAGGAUUAGAUACCCUGGUAGUCCACGCUGUAAACGAUGAUUACUAGGUGUGGGGGGUCUGACCCCUUCCGUGCCGGAGUUAACACAAUAAGUAAUCCACCUGGGGAGUACGGCCGCAAGGUUGAAACUCAAAGGAAUUGACGGGGGCCCGCACAAGCAGUGGAGUAUGUGGUUUAAUUCGAAGCAACGCGAAGAACCUUACCAGGUCUUGACAUCCAACUAACGAAGUAGAGAUACAUUAGGUGCCCUUCGGGGAAAGUUGAGACAGGUGGUGCAUGGUUGUCGUCAGCUCGUGUCGUGAGAUGUUGGGUUAAGUCCCGCAACGAGCGCAACCCUUGCUAUUAGUUGCUACGCAAGAGCACUCUAAUAGGACUGCCGUUGACAAAACGGAGGAAGGUGGGGACGACGUCAAAUCAUCAUGCCCCUUAUGACCUGGGCUACACACGUACUACAAUGGAUGUUAACAGAGGGAAGCAAGACAGCGAUGUGGAGCAAACCCCUAAAAACAUUCUCAGUUCAGAUUGCAGGCUGCAACCCGCCUGCAUGAAGAUGGAAUUGCUAGUAAUCGCGGAUCAGCAUGCCGCGGUGAAUACGUUCCCG